UCUCUUCUCUUCUCUUCUCUUCUCUUCUCUUCUCUUCUCUUCUCUUCUCUUCUCUUCUCUUCUCUUCUCUUCUCUUCUCUUCUCUUCUCUCUCUUCUCUUCUCUCUCUUUUCCCUUCUUCCCUUCUUUCUCUCUUCCCUUCUCUCCUUCUUUCUUUUUCUUUCUGUCAUUCUCUCCUCUCUUUCCUCUUCUCUCUCUCCUUCUUUCUCCCAUUUUCACUCCUCUCUUCCUCUCCUUUCUCCUUUCUCCUUUCUCCUUUCUCCUUUCUCCUUUCUCCUUUCUCCUUCUCCUUCUCCUUCUCCUUCUCCUUCUCCUUCUCCUUCUCCUUCUCCUUCUCCUUCUCCUUCUCCUUCUCCUUUUCUGCACCCCCAUUCGGUCUGCUGCCCGGACCAUCGAGGCAGUUAGGAGCAUCCCAUCCCGCCCGAGCUUCCUUUAACCGAAGUACCGAACAGGAGGGAGAGGGCAGUCACCGGGAGCAGAGGGAAGCGGCCCGACCUCCCGGCUACAUGCCGCGAUUGUAGCGUUUAACGGUGAACACCGACCGGCCCCGCUCCGUUCCGCCGCCCGCCCCGACGGCCGCGCCGCCCCGACCCACUCGUGGGGCUCCGGGGGUCGGUGAAGAGGCAGCGGAAAGGGGUGUGAGGGGGUGGGGGGAGACGCGUCCCACGCCACUCAGGCAACAAAACAAAAAUAAAUUUAAAAACGGGGGAAAAAAAAUAUCCAAAGUGCUGAAAAUUUCGCACGCGGCGCGGUGCGCUCCGCGGGCGCGGAGGGGACGGACUGUGCGCUGCUCCCACCUCGCGGCGCGGCAUCCCCUGCCCUGCCGGGCUUUGAUGUGCCGUAAUUGAGCCUUUCUCCUCCAGCCCUUCAUUUCGCCUUUCCCGCUUCUCUCUCCUCUGUUCCAGUUGGGGUGUUCUAUAUAAACAUCAAAAGGACAACGCAGCUUCCCUCCCUCCCCCCAACCCCCCCCCUCCGCCCUCCUCACUUUUUUUUUCUUAUAUUAGGAGAAAUAGCGAAAUGCUUCAUUUAUUCUUUCUGAGCUACAGACGAAAUAACGCGCGGGGUCUGCGCGGGUCCGCACGGCAACACGCAAACAUGUGUACGCUCAAAGCCCGGCAUUAAAUCCCGGUUGAUCCCAAUUUAAAACGGAGAGCGAGGGAGAGGGAAGCGGCUCUUUGAGUGUGCGAGAGAAAGAGGGGCCGAGAUGAGGAGCUGGUAAUUAUUGAAAUAUAAGGGUGAGAUUAAUUCAAAGGAAACAAACUAUGAAAACAAUUGGAGCCGAGUGAAAAGCAAAACCCAGAUUAGAAUUUGCUCGUGGUUUGUUGUCUGUCUGCUUUCUUUCCUCCUCCCCACCCAUUGUCACAGUGCAAGGCAAUGGGAUUUGCACACUUGAGGUGUAAUAGCAUUACUGCAUUAAUUAAAAUUUUCAUUUCACGUCCAGAUUGUUUACUUAUCUGCUGGAAACAUAUGUCGGGAGAAGUUGAGAUUCUGGAUUCUGCUCCGCUGCCCAAGGUGCAGCGCAGUACAGGGGGGGAGAGGAUGGCUUCAGAUUUUUUUUCUCGCCGCAUCCUCCAGCCUUAUCUCGGCGCUGUAAAUUAUAAGGAGACUCCAUUGAACUGAAUAUGAAGAUUAUAUUUGCGAGCGGCGAGUCCUAAAGCGGCCCCCGUCCCGCUUGGAAAUGAAGCGCGCCGCUUCGUGCCCAGCUCCGUGCCCACCCCCGGGGCCCAGAGGGGGGGACCGCCACCCUCUACCCACCCUCCUCGUCUCGAGGAGAGGGACAGCCGCCCCCGGGUUGUCCCCCGCGAGUCCCCGCUGCCACCCGCGGACAGCCGGCCGGAACCACGAGACAUCCAUCCCCAGGCUGUGCUUUCCGAAGUGAAUCCCCCCCCCUUCCCAAAACCACCUCCGGAAGGACCUGAGGAGGGCUGGGGUGGGGAUGUGGUGUCGGGCACGGUUGGGGACGGUGCUCCCCUUUGGAGCUGGGCGGCCGCCGGGGCCGCUCCGUCGGGGCGGGCGCUGCACGGAGCAGCGCGGAGAGGGGCCCGGGCAGCUGCAGAGCCGGGUGGGGGCCGUCUGUCCGAUUGCUCCCCCUACUUCUAUAUUAUUUCCCUCUUUAUUUUUUCUUUUUUCUUUUUCUUUCUUUUCUUUUCUUUUCUUUUUUUUUUUUUAAGGGAGGGUCGAAUUUUCUUUUUUCUUUUUAAAUUUCUUUACCUUAAUUUUUUUUAACUUAUUAUUAUUAUUAUUAUAUUUAUUUAUUUAUUUAUUUAUUUAUUUAUUUUUGAAGAGACCCCUGAGAAGGCGGCGAGGUGCCGUCCUCUCCGCCGGGUCUAUCUGUAAUUGAAUCUAGGUCAGUUAUUCUAAAGCAUGGGAGAGGCUGAUUCCCUCUUUCCGACAUCAGCCCGGAAUUUGGGGGGAGGAGAGGGGGGUCUUGCAAUUUCAUUUAAAAUGUAAUGGUGGAUGAACCGAUAAGCAAAUAGGGGGAAAAAAGGCUCUGCUUAAAAGAAAUAAAAAAAGAAAAAAAAAUGGCAUGCUUUUAAUAUGCUUCCAGAUGGGGGGAAAAUGAUUUACAUGGGAGUUUAUUUCCUCUUUGCUGAUAUGAAAGAAUUACAGAUACAAAACCCACUGAUCUAUAGAAUAAAAAAAAAGAAAAGAAAUGUUAUUUUCCUGUAAAGGUAUCAGUUCAUUUAUAUUCAUUUAACCAUCCAUCCAUCAAUUCACUUUCUCUCUCCCUGCACAUUCUCUCUGCCUCUGGUAAACCUACCCCACCAAUAUACUUUUCUGGAAUAUACAAUGAAGUUUCCUUAAAAAAGAAAAAGAAAUAAUGAGAGAUUCAGUUGAAGUAGGGAAAGAGAAGUUCCCCCUCUCCCCCCAGCCCCCAGCUCCUGGUUUACCUUGCAGACUUUGAGGAAAUUAGCAAUAUGAAAGAAAAACCGUUCAAGUUUGGAAGAAAAUGUCUGUAUAUAUCUAUAAAUAAUAUAUGAAGUAUAGAUGUUAUACAUGUGUCUACUGUGUAUAUAUAAUAUAUACCACGGAGCUUGUGUGCUCAACAUGUAUGUACCAUGUCUUUACGCUCAUGUCAUAUAAAUAGCUCAUUCUCUCUCUAUGUGCGUGCCUAUAAAAUAAAAUAUACAGAUAUUGUACAGAUAUUUACAGCAUUCAUAUAUCCCAAGUGCGCAGACAUAGAUUGAAACAUACAUCCAACCUACGUAUGCUGUUUAUAUAUAUAUGCGCAGUAUAUAUGAUGCCCACACUGUGCACAUACAAAGACGGUGUCUCUCUGACCCGGAGCAGAACGUUUGCAUUUAAACAUAAAUUAUCAUCCUAAAUUCCCCACCUGUGUUCCUGUGUGAGUGUGGAGGCGCAUCUGACAGCGUAGCAAGGGUACUGGUGUUUGUGUCCACAUGCUGGGCACUCUGUGCACACAGAGAGAGAGUGGACUACGGGAAGGCAGGAUCAGCCUGGUGCCCUCAGACCUUCCCAAGUGAAGAGCUGUGGUUGUAUUUUUUUUGUUGUGUUUGGGGUGAUAGCUCGGCCUGUGGUAGAAUUUCCUUUAUAGGAAGAGGGACCGAAGAGCAAACCUCUCUCAUAGUUGAUAACACAGGCAAGUAUUACGACAAAUCUACCCUAUGUGAGCCCUUCCCCAUGGGGCCAGCCCUGGCUGGAAGUGGCUCCUUCCUCCCCAUGCCCUCACCCACCAGAAUAGCCACGAGGAGGAUGAGGCUGCGUGCCCAAAGCGGGAAUCUGUUAAACCACCCAUCCAUCAGUCAUCUCCCAGAGACCUUCGCACAGGCUGGAAGCGAAGGGAUCAGCAUAACUCGCCUUUGUAGGCUGCAUGUAGCAGGAAAAGCUGUACAAGAAGUUGGCUCUUUAUUGAAAGGAAUACGUAAACGGAGAGGCAGCUAGAUAUGGAAAUACCUACAUAGGCAGAUAAAAACACACACCUUUAUCUUCAGCCAGAUAUUUAUAUAGAUCCGCAUAUAAUUUCUCCCACGGCUGCCUGUUAGAAGCGCCUCCGCCGGCACUCGGGGGGGGGGGUCCAUGCUACUCUUCCAGCAAUCCCAGGUAUAGAUGCAUCGCCCACCCUGCGAUCAAACAGCACUGAGAUGGGCAGCCCUACGGAAGCAUGCCCUGUGUGUGUAUCCCUGCAACAACACCAGGCUGAUCAAAGGCGGAGGCGCCGGGCUCUGUGCUGUAAGUGGCACCCAUGGAUGUCAGCCCCGCUUCAUGUUUGGAACCCGCACCUGAAUAAAUACAUAAUCAUAUCACAUAGCAUAAUUAAUAAGAGUAGCACCAUGAAGGACUCUUAAAGGAAAGGCUGUUGAAAGAGAGUUCCUGAAGAUAAUCCUUUUAAAAGGUUUCCUUAAAAUGCAGCCGCUAGUGGGAAUAAGGCAGGUUUAGUUCCAACAUCUUAAUACCUCCGGGUAGCACUGUUUUAGAUCUCGUAAUGUCUUUCCUUUAGCACUGAUUUGACUUCUGAUUUGGGACUUGCACGUUUUGGAGGAUCUUGUUGCUGCGGUGGUUCUCACUGAGAAGGUCCCCCGAGGAUGUUAUCACCAGUGACCUGCUGGGACCUGCGGCUUCAUUUCUGCUGGGAAUCAUACGCCCUCCCUACUCGUAACACCCUUUCCAACCUCACCCUUCUGGAGUUUUGUCUAAUGACCCAUUCAAGUCGUUUCAGGGUGCUGCUUCGUUUGUUUUUCCCUUAUGGCGGAUGCUGUGACAAUCCCCAAGCUGUUGAAAUGGGGUUCGGUUUCUCCCAAGCUCUUUGCUUGGGAGUGUCCCCAGCUCCAUCAUGCUCAGGAUGGGUCUGCAUGGCAUCGCUUGCCGGGGUCGAAGUUUUUGAAGUUUGCCUCCUUCCCUCCCUGUGAGCCAUUAGCUGGAUGACACGGACACAGGUUUCCCUUCGCUUCUUCUUCUCCAUCCAACCCUACUCACACGGAAACUCCCCCACCAGGCAGUGAGAGAACGGGAACAGAUCUUUAUCAGAGACUCACCCACAGUCCUCAGUUUUGUCUUAAGGAUAUGCAAGCAUCUGGACAGCUCCCCACUAUGGAUUUUUAUUCCAUUGCUGCAGUGUAGAGCAUACUUCCAUGCUCUACAGAGUCUCGAAGAAAGCAGCAGCAGGAAGCUUAGACUCCAUUUCCCACUCUUUCCCAGCUAUAAUGAAGAUGUCCUGCUAGCAGAUGUUAUAUGACAGCAUCCUAGUAUUCAUUGUAAUACUGGGGAAGUAGCAGCAGAAAUGGAAAGCCCCUUGGUCUUCAAGAAACCAGCAUCUACUGGAGAGGACAGGGCUGGAGAUGCUGCCAAAAGAGCCACAGAAGCAUGAUGCAAACUGUAUCCUCUUGCUGGGCUUUGGGAACUGCUCAGCUUUCAGCUGGGUUUGUGCCACUCAGGCUGUUCCUGUUAGGAGAAAGCUGGAGGAGUGCCCUUUUGCCCAAGGUCUGAUCUCCCAGGGGCUGCUGAGAUGCUAGCUGAUCCCCUUGUUGCUGCAUAGCUACCUGUGUUUCAGUGUAAGUGUAUGGGGACGUCAGCAAUACUCUGUAUGAUGUGGAUGUAUCAGUGUAAUACAUGAGAGAGUUCUUUUUCCCAUCUCCACCUCUGCAGGCUCCGGGAUGCUGCCUGAGUUCCCCUUUGGACUCCAGAGUCCCAUUGAGAUCAUGACAGCCAUGUUUAUGUGCUAUUCUAAUGCUGGUUGUUGCAGUGUAAGUGCUUUUUAAUGCAUGGCAUUACAGCAGGUGCAUGCUGUUCUCUCCCUUACCGAAUGGCUGUCUGGAGGGAUGUAAUUCCGGCUUCUGCCUCAGCAUGCUGUUAUUUACAAGUGUGGUUACACGGUUUGUGCCACCUCAGAGCUUAAUUUAGUUAAUUUGGUGCACAGCACAUGAGAACCACCUUUGCAGAAUGAGUGCUGUGAUACCCAGCUGGCUCAGGGAUCCCAUAACUGCAUCUCGGAGGUGGGAGGACUUCAGAAGAGCAUUCAGGGAGCAACGAGCAGUGGUGUCAGGAGCAUGAAGUCCCAUCACUUCUAUACAUAAAACUAGAGCAGGACACAUGCGAUGUGUGUCUUGGGGUGGCCAGGUCUGUGGUAGCUCCUUGGCCAUUGACGCAGAGCUUUGUUGAUUGUCCCCACAAAGGCUUUUGGCUAUGGAUUUGCGGAUGUGGUUGUAGAAUAAAAUGAAAUUCCACCUCCUCAUACUGGACUGGUUCCUAUAGCCGUUCACACAUUUCAGUGUGAAAUUCUGCUGGGAGAGGGAGCUCAGCUGGAAGCAAUACACCUAACAGAGAUAUUCUGUGCUGACUUUUUUCAGAGGGAAUGAUCUGUUCUGAUGACAUUCACUUGAUCACGUGUAGCUCUUGCCCUUAGAAGCCUUUGGUGUUGCUAUUGGUAUUGAGUGAGGAACUGCAAUGAAGUGCCAUCCAUGUGUCCAGUGUGCUGAGAAGACUCUGGGGUCGGUGGUGCAGUGAGGAAGCAGGAGCUGAUGAGCUGUGGCAUGAGGAUUCUCAGGGAACCUUUCCCAGAUUAGUUGUAAGAGACAGCUCUUGUAUAAGUGUUUAAGUGCUCCAUAAGGUACUGCCUGUGGCAGCAGAUUAGGGUCACAGAGGAAGGAGGAGGCUUGCCUGGGCUCCAGAGGCAGAGCUCAAUUUCUGUGUCCUGGAGCAACAUCUCUGGCUUCUGUCUUGAUGGGUUCUUCCUAGAGAAGUGUAGGAGCCCUGGAUAGGAAGCAGCAAGACAUACCUGAUCCUUGCAGCCUGAAAAUGACUUGCCACAAUAACCAGUGCUGUAGGCACUAAAAGGGAGCUUCAGAUACCUGGAAAGGAGAAAUCCUGUGCAAAGACAGCUCUCUUGAAUGUCCUCCUCCCAUCCAGAAGGUACUAAAAGCUUGGUGGGUGACUUCUGGAGUUACCUGCCAGUCCUGGCUUCCCCAGGAGCUACCUGAGAUGGUUCAGAGCCAACAGACUUUACCCUCUUUGCCAGAGUCACCAGUUUCUGGGUGAGUUGCUGGUCAUAGACCACCUUAUCCAGGUGGCAAGUGGGAAUCUGGGCUGCUGCAGUGCAAGAGCUGGAAGAUUUUAUUUACAUCUGUUUAUAUAUAUAUUUAUAACACCUGAGUUUAAUAGGCUAAAAGAUCAGGAAUUUUCUUUCACUGAAAGGAAAUUCCACUGACUGCUUUUCUGUAUCUAUCCAUGCUACCACUUUCCAAUAUCUGUGUUUUCCUGUAGCAACAUAGUGGGUACACAGUGGUUCCAGUUUUCCCUGAUGUCCACAAGCAGAUGAAUUUCAAAGGUGUUUCCCAUGGAUGCUCCUGCAGGCAGUGAGGAGGCCAGAGAUGUGAGUGUCACAAAAGCAGCAAAGAAGCAAAACAUCUCCUUUGGGCUCCUGUGGCUGUGUUUGCCCCCAAGUGCCAGCCCAUGCUCUGUUUUCUCCAGUGGUCAAGCCCUGCUGGAUUGACCAAAAGUUGCUCCAUCCCUGGGGUCAGUCAGAGCCCCAUGGGACUAUGGGAAAGGCUUGGUGAGUGGGAGCGUUCUACAUUGAGGGCAGGCAGGGUGGUGAUGUUCAUGGCUUCAUCAAGGGCUCCUUUUUCUUUGCAAAGAACUCUUGCUUGCUCGCUCAGCUUGCUGCACUGGUGAGAAUGUACUUACUGGCUUAACUACUGAGAUAUCUCUAAUGGAGAAUUUAAUCUCCAGAGCGUUGCUGUCUCUUAUGUUUCCUGUGUCUUAGGUGCUCAAUAAAUGCUUGCUAAAGUAAUUCAGUGUUCUCUCUCAAUCAGAAAACAUAGCACCGUGUCAGCUAUCCAAUCACACACCGAUUCAGUAAGGCAGGGUGAGAAAACACUGAAAGCAGCUCUGAAGAACGGGCUUGGAGCUGCUGGGCUUAUCAGGGUGAUGGAAACACUCUGUGAGCAGAACGCUGUAGGAAUGAGG
ensembl:lncRNA